AUUUAUAUAGUUUAAUUAUAAAACCUUACACUUUCAUUGUAAAAAUAAAAGAUUUCUUUUUAUAAAUU
rnacentral:tRNA from 1 species